rnacentral:misc_RNA from 1 species
GGCAACUGGGCUGGGUUGCAGGACCAGUUGUUAUGGUUCUCUUUGCCAUUGUCAAUCUCUAUACUUCCAAUCUAUUAGCGCAGUGUUACAGGGCUGAUGACCCUGUCAAGGGACAGAGAAAUUAUACAUACAUGGAUGCUAUCAAGGCUAAUUUAGGGGGACGAAAGGUCUUCUUCUGUGGAUUGAUUCAAUAUCUGAAUUUGUUUGGCGUUGCAAUUGGAUAUACUAUCGCAGCUUCAGUUAGUAUGAUGGCAAUAAAGAGAUCAAAUUGUUUCCAUGCAAGUGGAGGGAAAGAUCCAUGCCACAUGUCAAGCAACGGAUACAUGAUAACAUUUGGAAUCACAGAGGUGGUGUUUUCACAGAUUCCAGACUUUGAUCAAAUAUGGUGGCUCUCUAUUGUUGCAGCUAUUAUGUCUUUCACAUACUCUGCUGUUGGUCUGGGCCUUGGCAUUGGCAAAGUUGCAGAAAACGCAGCCUUCAAGGGAAGCCUCACUGGUAUCAGUAUUGGGACAGUAACCCAUGCUGGGUUAGUCUCUUAUACCCAGAAGCUAUGGAGAAGUUUGCAAGCUCUUGGAGCUAUUGCCUUCGCAUAUUCUUACUCUGUAAUCCUCAUCGAAAUUCAGGACACAAUAGGAUCUCCUCCUGCAGAAUACAAAACCAUGAAGAAGGCAACUUCUUUUAGUAUUGCAGUGACUACAUUUUUCUACUUGCUCUGCGGAUGCAUGGGAUAUGCAGCUUUUGGUGAUAAUGCACCUGGAAAUCUAUUGACAGGUUUUGGAUUUUAUAACCCUUACUGGUUGCUAGACAUUGCCAAUAUUGCGAUCAUCGUGCACCUAGUUGGUGCAUACCAGGUAUACUGCCAGCCAUUGUUUGCAUUUGUGGAAAAAUGGAGUGCUCAUAGAUGGCCAAAGAACGACUUUGUGACUGCGGAAUACGAGAUGCCAAUCCCCUUUUUCGGCGUCUACCAGGUGAACUUGUUCCGGAUAGUGUGGAGAAGCAUAUUUGUUGUUGUGACAACCCUCAUAGCCAUGCUUAUGCCCUUCUUCAAUGAUGUUGUUGGAAUACUUGGUGCCAUGGGAUUCUGGCCAUUGACUGUAUAUUUCCCUAUCGAGAUGUAUAUUUCUCAGAAGAAGAUAGGACGAUGGACUAGCCAGUGGCUUGGCCUUCAGAUUCUUAGUGUGAGUUGUCUCUUGAUCACCAUAGCUGCUGCUGUUGGCUCUGUGGCUGGGGUUGUUCUUGAUCUCAAGACUUACAAGCCAUUUAAAACUAGUUAUUGAGAGGGAGGGAAAGAGCUGUGAAUUGGUGAAAUACAAAGCUGGAAAUAGCCUAAAAUCAUAUAUAUAGGUACUAUUGUGCUAGUACAGCUACCGUUGUGCGAGUAAGAGGCAACUGCUUAUUUAAUCUGUAGGAGCUAUUUCAAGUUUCAAGUUUCUUCCUCUUGAGUGAUUCUGCGUUCGGUUUCUUUUCUCUA